CUGAACUGUCGACACGAGCUGUUGCUGGUCUCCAAACGGGACAUGUGCACGCUCUGUCAACACAUCCACUCACACCUGUGCACCCUCUGUAGUUCCGUGGCCCGGGGGGCUCUGCCCCCCUGGUGUGGUUCUACGUCUUUACAUACACUCUGUAACAAAGUCUCAUGGAACGUGCAUCGCGUAUAACGCAAUACAAUA
rnacentral:misc_RNA from 1 species